UAUUUCAAAUUUUCAGCAAUGGAUGUCUUGGCUCGCGCAACGAUGAAGG
rnacentral:rRNA from 1 species